ACCCUCCUAAUUCCUCACCCAUCAGACCUAAACCCCAGUCCGAGAGGUUCCAAAAGGAGAAAAUGUGAAAUUGAAACCGACGUGCAUUCUUUGGCGACACACAAGCUAGGUUCAAACAACA
rnacentral:snoRNA from 1 species